GACGAACGCUGGCGGCGUGCUUAACACAUGCAAGUCGAACGAAAAGAGGGAAAGAGCUUGCUCUUUCCGGAAUUGAGUGGCAAACGGGUGAGUAACACGUAAACAACCUGCCUUCAGGAUGGGGACAACAGACGGAAACGACUGCUAAUACCGAAUAAGUUCCAAGAGCCGCAUGGCCCAUGGAAGAAAAGGUGGCCUCUACCUGUAAGCUAUCGCCUGAAGAGGGGUUUGCGUCUGAUUAGCUGGUUGGAGGGGUAACGGCCCACCAAGGCGACGAUCAGUAGCCGGGCUGAGAGGAUGAACGGCCAAACUGGAACUGAGACACGGUCCAGACUCCUACGGGAGGCAGCAGUGGGGAAUCUUCCGCAAUGGGCGAAAGCCUGACGGAGCAACGCCGCGGGAGUGAUGACGGCCUUCGGGUUGUAAAACUCUGUGAUCCGGGACGAAAAGGCAGAGUGCGAAGAACAAACUGCAUUGACGGUACCGGAAAAGCAAGCCACGGCUAACUACGUG
rnacentral:rRNA from 1 species